CUUUUGAUUUUCAGCUGUCUGGAGUGAAAGUGAACUGUUCCUGAUGCCAAAGUGUCAGAUUCAAGACAGUUAUAAUGUUUGGAAGAAAUAUUCUGAGACUGAGAAACAAUCUGCACAGCUUUGCAUGUUGGUGGAUCAUAAUAACAUGAUACAAUGAGUCUCGGGGGGGGCUGGAGCCCAUCCCAGGUGACAUUGGGCGAGAGGCGGGGUACACCCUGGACCGGACGCCAGACUAUCACAGGGCUUGAUGCAUUUCUUUAAUUUUUCAACAUUUCACUUUCUCAGUCGGAUACAUUAUAUACACCCAGUGCCGGUUACACAGGAAACAUUUUUUACAUCAACAGAUGAGGAGAAAAAUAAAGACUUAUUGUUUUGUCAUACUGAACAAAUGAGAACAGAAAAUGACAUUUCUCUUCAGCGGCGGGACACUGGAUCUGUUUGGUCCUGAUCGUCCUGCAGGUUGUGACAAGCUGCCUGGUUAACUCUGACUCGGCCGCUUGGUUAACUGACUAUGCUGCCUGGUUACAUCUGACUCAGCUGCCGGUACAGCUGGAUGACAAGGAGCUGGAUUUCAUUAUCUCCAGGUUUGAUGUCUAUGACUCUCGGGAAGAAGGACAGAGUGCCGUCCAGCUCCCCUCUGCUGCGCCUCUCCUUCCCCCUGCUGACCAGGAAGUCGAAGCUCUCAUUGUGUAUUUAUGACAAAUAUAAAACGGUACGAAAACUUCAAAACUGAACCAAAGUACUUUCUAUCACACUUGUAUGGUUAUUUAUAGAUUUUAGUGAAUUUGAAUGCAAGUUUCUACGAUCAUGGAAAUAUUUUAAGUCAUAAAAACAUCAGCAGUAGAAAAAUAAAACAUUUAUCCAUUG